UACGAGGGGGGCAAGCGUUGUUCGGAAUUAUUGGGCGUAAAGGGCGCGUAGGCGGUGCGGUAAGUCACCUGUGAAAACUCUGGGCUCAACUCAGAGCCUGCAGGCGAAACUGCCGUGCUUGAGUGUGGGAGAGGUGCGUGGAAUUCCCGGUGUAGCGGUGAAAUGCGCAGAUAUCGGGAGGAACACCAGUAGCGAAGGCGGCACUCUGGGCCGGUACUGACGCUGAGGAGCGAAAGCGUGGGGAGCAAACAGG
rnacentral:rRNA from 1 species